rnacentral:rRNA from 1 species
UACGGAGGGUGCGAGCGUUGUCCGGAAUCACUGGGCGUAAAGGGCGCGUAGGCGGCGCGGGAAGUCAACGGUGAAAGCUUGGGGCUCAACUCCGAGUCGGCCGUCGAUACUCCCGUGCUCGAGCACUGUAGAGGCAGAUGGAAUUCCGGGUGUAGCGGUGGAAUGCGUAGAGAUCCGGAAGAACACCGGUGGCGAAGGCGGUCUGCUGGGCAGUUGCUGACGCUGAGGAACGAAAGCCAGGGGAGCGAAUGGG